rnacentral:rRNA from 1 species
CCUACGGGAGGCAGCAGUGAGGAAUAUUGGUCAAUGGACGAGAGUCUGAACCAGCCAAGUAGCGUGAAGGAUGACUGCCCUCUGGGUUGUAAACUUCUUUUAUAUGGGAAUAAAACAGGGUAUGCAUACCCUCUUGUAUGUACCAUAUGAAUAAGGAUCGGCUAACUCCGUGCCAGCAGCCGCGGUAAUACGGAGGGUCCGAGCGUUAUCCGGAUUGAGUGGGUUUAAAGGGAGCGUAGGUGGAUUGUUAAGUCAGUUGUGAAAGUCUGCGGCUCAACCGUAAAAUUGCAGUUGAAACUGGCAGUCUGGAGUACAGUAGAGGUGGGCGGAAUUCGUGGUGUAGCGGUGAAAUGCUUAGAUAUCACGAAGAACUCCGAUUGCGAAGGCAGCUCACCGGACUGCAACUGACACUGAUGCUCGAAAGUGUGGGUAUCAAACAGGAUUAGAUACCCUGGUAGUC